rnacentral:rRNA from 1 species
CGCUCCUUGAUUUUAAUUAAUAGGGAGUCGGACCUGCCCAGUGAUAAGUAUUUAACGGCCGCGGUACUCUGACCGUGCAAAGGUAGCAUAAUCAUUUGCCCUAUAAUUGAGGGCUAGUAUGAAUGGUUUGACAAGAACAGUACUGUCUCUUUCAAAAUUUCUAGAAUUUAUUCUUUAGGUGAAGAAACCUAAAUAAAAUUAAAAGACAAGAAGACCCUAUCGAGCUUAAACUCUUUUUAUAAAAUAAAAAAAAUUAAUAAUAUUUUUUGUUAUAAAAAAUUUUGGUUGGGGCGACUAAGGAACAAAAAAAGCUUCUUUAUUUAAUAAAGACAAAUGUGUAUUGAUCCAUAAAAUCUUGAUUAAAAGAAUUAGUUACCGUAGGGAUAACAGCAUAAUCUUUUUUAAGAGUUCUUAUCGAAAAAAAGGUUUGUGACCUCGAUGUUGGACUAAAAUUUCCUAAUAGAUGCAGACGUCUUUAAGGG